rnacentral:lncRNA from 1 species
CAGAGCGUCCUGGGCGGCCAGGACCAGCUGCGGAUCCGCGUGGCCGAGCUGGAGGACGAGGUGCGGAACCUGCGGAAGGUCAACCGCGACCUGUUCGACUUCUCCACGCGCAUCAUCACGCGGCCGGCCAAGUGAGCCCCCCCGCCCGCCGAGCGGCCCCUGGACGUGUUGCCCCCUCCAGGAGCCUCGUGUACCUCGUGUUGGCCACCGGUGCCUCCGUGCGGCUUCUGGCGCUGCUCUGUCUUUAACAAAAGGACUAAAAGCCUCUUCUCUUCAACCCUCUGUGUGCCCUGGCGGUGGCGGGGGGUGGUCCCAGGUCCCGCGUGGUGGCCCCAGGACUCCUAGCGGGACCUGUUUCAGCAGAGCGCCCUGAGUCCGGUUUUUAAAACUCUGUCAAGAAGUCACGGUUCUUGUCAGAGACUGGUCGGCUGCCCCAGGGCUUUCGCUCGACCGUGAGGACCAGGCCACACUCGGCGGGAGGGUGUGCUGGGGCAGGGGUGGCUUCUGAGGUGCGGGUGGAGGUUACCCGGGGCAGGAACGGUUCAGAGAGCGCAGCGUGGUCCCACCGGUCCCGUCCCUUUGAUGGCCUCCCAGCAAGGGUGCCCCCAGCCUGGCUCACGUGGUGGCGGUUCUGGGCCAGAGUCCUCCAGAAGGACGUGUGCCCACACGGCCCGAUGAGGACGUCCCUUGGCCUAAAAGGGCCUGAGAGAGGCCAGGGACACCUGCCCUGGGGAUGUGGCCAGUGGUCAGCCGGCACCUGGAGCCCAGCUCAGACACGUGGGCCCCACAGCCAUCCUCGGAACUUUCCAGAAGGCUGCCCACCCCUGACAGCUCAGCUUAAUGACCUAGAAAAUCCACGUGGUUGAGCAGGUGCUGGAGAACCUGGGGCUGGAACCAGCAGUCCCAGCUGGGAUCCCGCUCCUGGGCUCAGGGAUGGCCCCUUCCUCCGGCCGUGCGCCCUGGCCACGGGUCUCGCCGCACGGCAGCUGAUAGGGCAUGAGACGGGGUCCUGCUGGCUAACUGGGGACAGCACGUUGGAAGCCCCCCGCCCCCACAGCUUUCGGUUGGGCUCCAUCAGCCCCUUGAGGCCAGAAUGGGGUUACGACAGGCCCUGGGCCUCUGGGGUUCCCGUCGGCAGCGGAGGGCAGGGAGGGGCUUAGCCAGGGUCCCAAGGGUGCCAGCCCCCUCCCGAGAGCGCCAGGGUCUCUGUCUUCCCAUCUGUAGGCUGGGCCCAGGCUGUCCUCACCCUCGGGUCUCCAGAAAGUCUGGAAGAUCUGGUUUGACUGAGGCUCUGGUGCCCAGACCCAAGCGAGGGUCCCUCGGAGCCCCUGGUGCCUGUGCCCCUGUGCCCUCCCUCCAUGCCCUUGGCUGCCUGUACGUGUUCCAGGAGUAAAUGUUUCAGAAGGAGAUGUGUCGCUGGUUCUGGGGGCCGGGUGCUGGGAAGGGAGCUGGCAGGUGGCCACGAGAUGGGCUGAGCGUUUCGACCUUCGUCUGGAGGCCGCCCUUCCUGGCUCUGCAUUCUUGCCUCGGGGGUGCUGUUCCCCCUGACCUCCCAAGGAUUCACAGGGUCAGAGCCCCCCCCCCCCAGCACCACUCUGGACCCUCAGCUGCUGACUCCGUGGGUCCUGGGGUUUCCUCCUGCCGUGUCACUCCUCCCGCCCUCUGGCCCGGGGCAGAGGCAGCCGACCUUCCUGGUUCCUGCAGGGCUGAGGGGAGGGGCGGGGGUGCUGUGAUCUGACUCAGGCCCGAGAGCAUCAGGGGACACUUGGUCCCCGCUGGCCUCUCCAUCUGGUCACUGCAGCCUCGGAGAAGCUGCAGUCGGGCCCAGACUCAGUUUCCAUAUCUGUAAAGCGGGACAUGGCCCUUCUGGGUCCGCAGGGAGGCCUCAGAGCUUGUGCGCGGCUGGCGUGCGGCAGGUGCGUGGCACGGGGCGAACCGUCAGGUCCGGGCUGAGGUUCACGUGCACGUUCCGUAGCACAAGCUGACCCCAAAUCCUGCGCAGUCGCUGCCGAGGGGAAGAGGCCGGCGACACCCGGUGCCUGCCGGCCGUGUUCCAGGAGGGAACCGCGUGUGCGCUGGUGGGGACGUGGGGCGGGUGCUGGCGUAGCAAACAGUCUGGAGGGUCCUCGGGAAUCGGGCCUCCCCGUGCUCCAGCAGGCCUGUGUCCCGGCUCUCACCACACUCCCGUGUCCGGGCUCCCUUUCACCCACAGGAGAUGCACGUCGGGGCGCAAAGAGGUACCUGCGCACCCACGUUCACAGCAGCACGGUCCUUAGUCACCGGACACCCCCGGGCCCGUCCGCGCACGGAGGGUAGGCACUCCGUGGUCCGUCCACACGCCCGAAUGUGAUCCAGCCUUAGAAAGUGCCACCUGCCACCACAUGGAUGGACCCCGAGGACACUGCGCGGUGACGGAAGCCAGACCCAGAAGGACACGUCCUGCGUGACCCCACGCACAAGGGGUCCCCUGAGGAGUCGCGUCCACAGAGCCAGCGAGCAGACUGGGGGAGCCAGGGGUGGGCAGGGGGCGGGGAGUCUGUGCUGCUUGGGGACAGAGUCUCAGUCUGGGGAGAUGGAAAGUUCUGGAGAUGGAUGGUGGGGGCGGCCGCACGACCGUGUGAGUGCGCCUGAUGUCACUGAGCUGUGCACUUGGAAGUGGUCGCGAUGAGGGGCGCCUGGGUGGCUCAGUCGGUUAAACGUCGACUUGAUUUUUGGCUUAGGUGGUGAUCUCGUGGUUCCCGGGGUCCAGCCCUGCGUCGGGCUCCAUGGAGCCUGCUUGAGGUUCUCACUUCUUCUCUCUGCCCUUCCCAGUUUGUCUUCUGUCUCUAAAAAAAAAAAAACAAACAAACAAACAAAAAUGGUUAAAGUGUUAAAUUUUAUUACGCGUUUUACCACAGUUGGGAAAAACACCUC